GAUGAACGCUAGCGACAGGCUUAACACAUGCAAGUCGAGGGGCAGCAUAAAAGUAGCAAUACUUUGGUGGCGACCGGCGCACGGGUGAGUAACGCGUAUGCAACCUACCUAUCAGAGGGGAAUAACCCGGCGAAAGUCGGACUAAUACCGCAUAAAACAGGGGCACCGCAUGGUGAUAUUUGUUAAAGAAAUUCGCUGAUAGAUGGGCAUGCGUUCCAUUAGGUAGUUGGUGAGGUAACGGCUCACCAAGCCGACGAUGGAUAGGGGAACUGAGAGGUUGGUCCCCCACACUGGUACUGAGACACGGACCAGACUCCUACGGGAGGCAGCAGUGAGGAAUAUUGGUCAAUGGGCGAGAGCCUGAACCAGCCAAGUCGCGUGAAGGAAGAAGGAUCUAUGGUUCGUAAACUUCUUUUGCAGGGGAAUAAAGUGCGGGACGUGUCCUGUUUUGUAUGUACCCUGAGAAUAAGGAUCGGCUAACUCCGUGCCAGCCGCCGCCGUAACAC
rnacentral:rRNA from 1 species